UAUUAGGCUACCCCUUGAUGAUUGUAUCCAAUCUUGGAAGUUAAACAGAGUCAGUCCUGUCUAAUACUUGGAUGGGAAACUGCCUGAGAAUACAAGAUAGUAUAAGCU
rnacentral:rRNA from 1 species